rnacentral:tRNA from 1 species
GCACCGGUAGUAUAGUGGUUAGUAUGUCGGCCUUCCAAGCCGAUCACCCGGGUUCGACUCCCGGCCGGUGCA